rnacentral:rRNA from 1 species
CGGGCGGACGGGUGAGUAACGCGUGGGUAACUACCCUGUACACACGGAUAACAUACCGAAAGGUAAUGCUAAUACGGGAUAAUAUAUUUGAGAGGCAUCUCUUGAAUAUCAAAGGUGAGCCAGUACAGGAUGGACCCGCGUCUGAUUAGCUAGUUGGUAAGGUAACGGCUUACCAAGGCGACGAUCAGUAGCCGACCUGAGAGGGUGAUGGCCACAUUGGAACUGAGACACGGUCCAA